rnacentral:rRNA from 1 species
GACGAACGCUGGCGGCGUGCCUAAUACAUGCAAGUUGAGCGAUGAAGAUUGGUGCUUGCACCAAUUUGAAGAGCAGCGAACGGGUGAGUAACGCGUGGGGAAUCUGCCUUUGAGCGGGGGACAACAUUUGGAAACGAAUGCUAAUACCGCAUAACAACUUUAAACAUAAGUUUUAAGUUUGAAAGAUGCAAUUGCAUCACUCAAAGAUGAUCCCGCGUUGUAUUAGCUAGUUGGUGAGGUAAAGGCUCACCAAGGCGAUGAUACAUAGCCGACCUGAGAGGGUGAUCGGCCACAUUGGGACUGAGACACGGCCCAAACUCCUACGGGAGGCAGCAGUAGGGAAUCUUCGGCAAUGGACGAAAGUCUGACCGAGCAACGCCGCGUGAGUGAAGAAGGUUUUCGGAUCGUAAAACUCUGUUGGUAGAGAAGAACGUUGGUGAGAGUGGAAAGCUCAUCAAGUGACGGUAACUACCCAGAAAGGGACGGCUAACUACGUGCCAGCAGCCGCGGUAAUACGUAGGUCCCGAGCGUUGUCCGGAUUUAUUGGGCGUAAAGCGAGCGCAGGUGGUUUAUUAAGUCUGGUGUAAAAGGCAGUGGCUCAACCAUUGUGUGCAUUGGAAACUGUUAGACUUGAGUGCAGUAGAGGAGAGUGGAAUUCCAUGUGUAGCGGUGAAAUGCGUAGAUAUAUGGAGGAACACCGGUGGCGAAAGCGGCUCUCUGGACUGUAACUGACACUGAGGCUCGAAAGCGUGGGUAGCAAACA